rnacentral:tRNA from 1 species
CAAAAAGUGGUUUAAUUAAAAUUUUGGUUUUGGGGACCAAAGAUGAAAUGUUCAUUUCCUUUUUGA